CUGGUGUUAUUCCUUGUAGCGCAAGCGUUGGACCCUUCUACUUUGAGUCUUGGUCAAGCCUUCUGGACACCAACGUUCUCUAGGAAUUAGCUUCUCUCGUUGCUUGAUAUGCUCUUCCUUGGAUUCGUCAAUAACAACAGAUCUACGCCCCGGAGGAUAACCUAGCCUGUCAUGCACAAACUGCACUUCCUUGUGUUCAUUGGACCCCUCAACUGCUUGAUAGUGCCUUGAGGACUGAAACUCCCAACAUUCAUGCACUGAUUAGCAUUGUCUCUUGGAAUCACAACACUUCUGAUACCGUGAGCCGCACUCUGGGCAAUUAACAGCAGACGGCAACCUCAGCUUCUGAUCCCAGCAAUAUUGGAAGAAAGGACAAUUCCAGUGUGAUUCAAACUUGUUUUGGCCUUCAUCUGUCCUAACUUCUUGAUCCUCCCAUUUGCACUAGUACUUAUUGAUCAGCAUUUUGGAUGUCGCUCUGGGAUUCCUAACGGAUUGGCUAGUUUCAACUUCCUCUACUUCUUGAGCCCAUCUUACUUUUCUUCUUGAAUUCCUUAGCCGAUACUUGCACCCUUGGAUCCACUGUGCCAGAUUCCUUUGCCCUCCUUGAUGUGAACAAGAUUGACCGAAGUCUUGAU
rnacentral:lncRNA from 1 species